rnacentral:rRNA from 1 species
UACGUAGGGUGCGAGCGUUGUCCGGAAUUAUUGGGCGUAAAGAGCUUGUAGGCGGUUUGUCGCGUCUGCUGUGAAAUUCCAGGGCUUAACCCUGGGCUUGCAGUGGGUACGGGCAGACUAGAGUGUGGUAGGGGAGACUGGAAUUCCUGGUGUAGCGGUGAAAUGCGCAGAUAUCAGGCAGGAACACCGGUGGCGAAGGCGGGUCUCUGGGCCGUAACUGGACGCUGAGGAGCGAAAGCAUGGGGAGCGAACAGGAUU